GGAUCACCUCCUUUCUAAGGAUGGUUCUUCAGAAGCUUGCUUCUAUCGAACCGUUUUAGAAACAUCAGUGGCCAACGAUCGUCAGGAUUGUUGAGCUGCAUUGGCGGGAUUUCGCCGUCUUCGUUUCUCUUUCUUCGCGGACGAACACGCGCUGGGCCUGCGAGAGCAGGGUCCCUGGUCCUUGACGGGAUAUGCGUUAGGGGCUUGUAGCUCAGUUGGUUAGAGCGCGCGCUUGAUAAGCGUGAGGUCGGAAGUUCAAGUCUUCCCAGGCCCACCACACUCAUCGGGUAAGCAUUCGUCUUCUGGUUACGGGGCCAUAGCUCAGCUGGGAGAGCGCGUGCUUUGCAAGCAUGAGGUCGUCGGUUCGAUCCCGUCUGGCUCCACCAGAUGGUUUGAUCACCGAGGCUGUGUUUGCAGGUAUUCAACCGUCGUCCGCGAAACAUCACUUCGCACCUGCUAGUCUGGAUAGACAGUGAGGUUGCGUGAUUUCUGACAUCGUAAAGAGGAGAUCGAUCCGAGUUGGAUCGGGCAGCAAGCAAUUGCUGCGCGAACCUUCAUUAUCUCCGGAUCAUUUCGGCGCUCGCGCGCCUUUCAAUGCGGCUCACAAGGCUGCGUCUGAAGGGAAUGCGGGUUGUAAAUGAUCCUUUUAGCGAAGCUUGACCGCCUCGCUAUCGGAACGAUCUUACGAAGCAAGCUGGUCUUUCUAAUCAUUGUCCGGCUGUACGUAGCGUUCAUCGAGGGCGCGUGCCGUAAGGCAAUCGUACAGACACAUUCUGCCGAGUGUGUGGACAUUGAUAAUGAGAGCAAUCAAGUGCCUUAAGGGUGUUCGGUGGAUGCCUUGGCGCUGAGAGGCG
rnacentral:tRNA from 1 species